UGCAAGGACGCCCAGACUAACCUGCAUGGAGAGACCACAUAAAUAAAUCAUGUGAAGUACUUUAGCUGACAGCCCAACUGGAGUCUCAUCUGACAGGUGGCAUCAGUCUGAAAUGGGAGGGGACUCUUCCACAUGAUUCCAGCCAUCAAGUCUCCCCACCCUUCUAAUCUUACCAAAUGUGUCCCAGAUGUUGUGGAGCAGAGAGAAGCCAACUUUGAUAUAUCCUGUCUAAACUGCUGCCCACAGAAUCUAGUAACCAAUGAAAUGUGACACACUUGUUCUCAGACUCCUACAAGCUAACCUGAACUUGUUCAUGGGGAAGCUGCGUGUCUCCAAGAAAGAGUGGAAGCAUGCAAAGCCUCUUGAGUUCUGGGCUCAGACUGGCACAUUGUCACUUUCACUGCAUUCUACUCAACAAAGCAAGUCACAAAUCCAGCCCUGAUUCAAGGAUGACAGUUACCUAUCAUGGAUCUUCAAAGGGACCCAAAAUUUGGACCAGAUGCCAUCUUCUCAAGAGUACAGGAGGAACUGAAGCAUUAAAUUGUGAUGGUAUUGGCCAACAUAUGUAGCUCAUCACUGCGAACAAGUGCUCAGCCUACGUUUGGAGUGGUGUACUGUCAUUGUGACCCAUAACUGUUGGAAGAGUUCCAGAAAUAACACAAGGGAUUAUGCAUUAAUAUAGAGCAGGUGGCAAUUUCACAGGCUCAAGCAAAUGUGAAAUAUUUGACAUUUUCACCUUAGUAUUUCCACACAUAGAAAAGACACCUUCCAAGAUCAUAGAUCAAAACUAGGUGAUGGCAACAUGAAGAUCAUUGAGAAUAUGGAGAAUAUGGCAACAGCAGCCUUCACAGCAUGGUAGGAAAUGGAUGACUGAGUGCAGUGGCUGGAGGAAGGAUUUUUGAGAUGAGAAAGUAAUGACAAACUCUGCAGACAACUCUCUCUAUGGGUUUUGCU
rnacentral:lncRNA from 1 species